AUUGAACGCUGGCGGCAGGCCUAACACAUGCAAGUCGAGCGGAUGAAGGGAGCUUGCUCCUGGAUUCAGCGGCGGACGGGUGAGUAAUGCCUAGGAAUCUGCCUGGUAGUGGGGGAUAACGUCCGGAAACGGGCGCUAAUACCGCAUACGUCCUGAGGGAGCAAGUGGGGGAUCUUCGGACCUCACGCUAUCAGAUGAGCCUAGGUCGGAUUAGCUAGUUGGUGGGGUAAAGGCCUACCAAGGCGACGAUCCGUAACUGGUCUGAGAGGAUGAUCAGUCACACUGGAACUGAGACACGGUCCAGACUCCUACGGGAGGCAGCAGUGGGGAAUAUUGGACAAAGGGCGAAAGCCUGAUCCAGCCAUGCCGCGUGUGUGAAGAAGGUCUUCGGAUUGUAAAGCACUUUAAGUUGGGAGGAAGGGCAGUAAGUUAAUACCUUGCUGUUUUGACGUUACCAACAGAAUAAGCACCGGCUAACUUCGUG
rnacentral:rRNA from 1 species